GGGGGCGUUACGGAUUCGACGACGGUAACGAAACCUGCGGUGCAUGCCGUGAUGGUAGCCAAUCACGUAAAUCCAAAGCUGCAAACUAUUAGUUGCCAAUGACGACAACUACGGUGCACAACUGGCUGCGUAAGUAG
rnacentral:tmRNA from 1 species